GGAAAGUGCAGCUGGGUGUGCAUUCUGAGAACAUGCUCAUUGUGAGACUGCUGGAGUAGAACAAGAAGCGACUGUUUUGCUGCAUCAUGUAUGAAAUGUUUCACUUCAUUGCAAUACCAAGGCUGCAAUCCUUCUUUCAAACUUACUAAACCUGGAUGCCAGCCAGCGAGGAACAACAAUAUCUUGACAGGGAGCCUCAUGCAUCCCACACGGGUCAUCUACAUUGUCUGGGCUCCGUGUGCAUCAGAGAUUACAACAGUGGAAAACAAAAGAAUUACGCAACACAAAGGUCUUGAUGAGAGUAAACAAGAGAAACGUGACUUACUGCUGAAGCACUUUCCUGCCUGUACUUGAAGCAGAGGGAUAAGAGGAGGUCCACCCUUCAAAUCUUCCCAGACAGUAACACACAAAUACAAGAAAUAAGCAACGGGAGUCUCAUGUACUGUUGUCCGGAGUUUCUGUUUAGUCAGUACUUUCCUAGGGCAAAGAUAAAGGACUAAAUUGUAUGCAAUUUCAUGAAAAGAAACAUGCUUUUUUUUUUUUUGUUAAGUGAUAACAAUGAUAAAGUCUUAGGUAAAUUAAAAGCAUGUGACUGAAGUCAAACCUGAUUUAUUCCAAAGGAAAAUCAACCAUACCCAUGAGAGAGUUUGACUGAGAGUGAGGCUGUGGGACUGGUAAAAUCCUGGUCUGUUCUGAAAGAGGUUGUUUGACCUCACACUAAAUGGCAUAGCAAUGUGGCUAGCUGAAGUAGCUCAGAGCUUUGGCACAACUGCCCCUCUAAGCACCUGCUCUGUGAAUGUUCAGCUUGCCAAGGCUCAGCAGGCUCCCCAGCCACAGCAACAUGUGCCCAAGGCACCACUGCCAUCACUUUAGCCCUGCCUUGGGCUCUGCAUGUGCCAGCAGUGGACCAUCCCUGCUUUGGAGGAAGGGGGUUGCAAAAUUGGGUGUAUUAAACUGGAAAUUAGAUUAAUUUCUUCUCUCCAGCACACUGCUUCAGUAGGCACAAGUACAUCUGCUCCAUGUGGAAAGGAGAGACCCAGUCAGAAACCUGCUGAGGCUGGGGUUCAAUGCAUUAAAAAAUUGAUGGGGAGCUUACUGCCAAGAAGCUCUUGGAAAGAUGCUGUCUAGUGACCUAGGAUGUUGGGAAGCCUCAAGGCACAACAAAUACUGAAUUUUUGUUGCCUGCCCUUUUGCAUGUAUUGAGUAUUUGGUAGAGUCAGUGUCUUGGGAGAAAGCUUGUGCCUGUCUAUGAGCUGUGUUUUGAGAUAUCCUUGGAGGUAGUGCAAAAUGUAAACAAUCAGAGGUAGCUCAAUAAUAAGAUUUAAGCAGAAUUUAGGUAUACCUGACAAAGAUGUACUAUUCUG